rnacentral:rRNA from 1 species
UACGUAGGGCGCAAGCGUUAUCCGGAAUUAUUGGGCGUAAAGAGCUCGUAGGCGGCUUGUCGCGUCGGCCGUGAAAGUCCGGGGCUCAACUCCGGAUCUGCGGUGGGUACGGGCAGACUAGAGUGAUGUAGGGGAGACUGGAAUUCCUGGUGUAGCGGUGAAAUGCGCAGAUAUCAGGAGGAACACCGAUGGCGAAGGCAGGUCUCUGGGCAUUAACUGACGCUGAGGAGCGAAAGCAUGGGGAGCGAACAGG